rnacentral:sRNA from 1 species
AUAUAAACGUAAUAGUCUGAAUACUUUGUUGAUCGGAUGUAAAAUAUACAGUUUAGAUUUUCAUUCUCAACAGGUUCCAGUUCGAAUUUGCAAGACGCAGAAUUUUUUUUAUCACUUCCACAGAUACGGCCCCAGUAGAGCGAUGACAUUUUGAACUUAAUGUCCGGCGAAUUUGACAGGCAAAUGUUACGUAUUGAACCACAAAAGCUUUUACCUCCACCUACUGUGGGAAUUUUGAUUCGGUGAAUGCGAAGAAAGUGCAAAUAAUGUUCGCAUUUUGUAGGAGUAAAUAUAGUCAGAAACACCGACUUUUGGAAAUUGGUUUCCGUGACAUAUGUAAGAACUUCCAGGUCAGACUUAUUACUUUCGGUGAUCAAUGCCAGAACCCCUUGAGUACUGGGUCUGUCAAAGCCACUUCGUUCUUUGAUGCAGAAAACCUGCCAUAACACUAACGUACGCAAUAUUGCCAGUCGGAAAUACAGAUUCACAUAGACUGAUGCUCGAUGAGCAGACUGUAGGUCCGACGUCGUCAGUAGUUCGUACGUCUUCGCUUUUAAUUUUCCAAGGAAUCUCACACUGUCGUUGGUUGGAAAUUUGUCCUCCAGUCGGAUUACAACACUUUCACGGGCUUGGUCGUCGAUCUCGUUUAAAUAGGCGUGUGUGUGGUAAAGUAAAUCUUCCAAACCCGCUGCUUCAGCUCUUAACUCUGAGUCUUGGAAGCGUAGUAAAGCUGAAUAUGUUUUAUCUUCGUCUAUCUGAGGAAUAGUGGACUUAAAUUGUGUGCCGAUUUUUUUGAAGAUGUUUGACAUGACGCCAAAGGAUAUGGUAAAUGUACAUGUAUGUACUGGGAUUGAAUUAAUUCCAGUUAUGCUUGUUAGUAAUUCAAUAGCAUCGGCGAAUUUGAGGAAAACAUCCCCUAUGCCUGUUUCCAUGUAUUUCUUCAAUUCUGGUAUUUCAUGGUUGACUAGAUGUAUGUAUUUACCAUCAGAAAGAGCCAAUUGUAUUUCCUUUUUCCAAUCUUCUAAUGUAAAUGAUUUCAUUUUUUAUUAUUUUAAAAAUGCUAACUGGAAAGAACCCCAGCUUAGGUAUAAGUAAAAUAACCUGAAAGAAAACAUUAUUUACAUUAAUAUUAAUGAGACAACCGGAUAUAUAUUUCAAACAGACAAAAAGUUAUAUUUUCUUUUUUGCGCGCAUGAUAUAGAUAUUUAUGUAAUUGCUGUAAUAAUGCAUUUGAAAGAC